UUACAGCCAUAUCAAGUUGAAACACCAGUUCUCGUUCGAUCAGCGAAGUUAAUCAACAACGAUCCUGGUUAGUACUUAGAUGGGUGACCGCUUGAGAAUAUUAGGU